rnacentral:rRNA from 1 species
UACGGAGGGAGCUAGCGUUGUUCGGAAUUACUGGGCGUAAAGCGCGCGUAGGCGGCUUUGUAAGUUAGAGGUGAAAGCCCGGGGCUCAACUCCGGAACUGCCUUUAAGACUGCAUCGCUUGAAUCCGGGAGAGGUGAGUGGAAUUCCCAGUGUAGCGGUGAAAUGCGUAGAUAUUGGGAGGAACACCAGUGGCGAAGGCGGCUCACUGGACCGGUACUGACGCUGAUGCGCGAAAGCGUGGGGAGCAAACGGG